rnacentral:rRNA from 1 species
UACGUAGGUGGCGAGCGUUAUCCGGAAUUAUUGGGCGUAAAGAGCGCGCAGGUGGUUGAUUAAGUCUGAUGUGAAAGCCCACGGCUUAACCGUGGAGGGUCAUUGGAAACUGGUCGACUUGAGUGCAGAAGAGGGAAGUGGAAUUCCAUGUGUAGCGGUGAAAUACGUAGAGAUAUGGAGGAACACCAGUGGCGAAGGCGGCUUCCUGGUCUGUAACUGACACUGAGGCGCGAAAGCGUGGGGAGCAAACAGGAUUAGAUACCCU